GACGAACGCUGGCGGCGUGCCUAAUACAUGCAAGUUGAGCGAUGAAGAUUGGUGCUUGCACCAAUUUGAAGAGCAGCGAACGGGUGAGUAACGCGUGGGGAAUCUGCCUUUGAGCGGGGGACAACAUUUGGAAACGAAUGCUAAUACCGCAUAACAACUUUAAACAUAAGUUUUAAGUUUGAAAGAUGCAAUUGCAUCACUCAAAGAUGAUCCCGCGUUGUAUUAGCUAGUUGGUGAGGUAAAGGCUCACCAAGGCGAUGAUACAUAGCCGACCUGAGAGGAUGAUCGGCCACAUUGGGACUGAGACACGGCCCAAACUCCUACGGGAGGCGGCAGUAGGGAAUCGUCGGGAAUGGACGAAAGUCUGAGCGAGCAGCGCCGCGUGAGUGAAGAAGGUUGUCGGAUCGUAAAACUCUGUUGGUAGAGAAGAACGUUGGUGAGAGUGGAAAGCUCAUCGAGUGACGGUAACUACCCAGAAAGGGACGGCUAACUACGUG
rnacentral:rRNA from 1 species